AUAGGAUCUAGACCUGGCAUAUCUUCAUACGACCAUGCAAAAAUAUCCGGAUAUUCCCAGAGGAGUUGGAUGAUCUUCUUUUUAACCCCUUCCUCUAGAAUAGUACCGAUCUUGAUUUCUCGCUUGUUCUCCUCGGUACCUAUGUUGAUGAGCUCAAUCUCUUCCUGG
rfam:Medicago truncatula strain A17 chromosome 6, whole genome shotgun sequence.